GAGAGAGAGAGAGAGAUUAGGGUUCCAAAAUCUUCUCUCCCCUUCGAGCCCGAGGAAUCUGCAUCCGCGACGAAGACGACGGUGUUGUAAACUUCUUUCAUUCUCUGAUUCCCUUCUUGUUCUAAGAAUUUCGGGGUCACAGCAGUUCGUUCACUGUCCCUGAGCGUCCAGAAUCUGCUUCAAUCGGCUGAAGAAGAAGGUUAAAACCAAACAAAGAAGGAGAGGAGAGUUUUGGGUUCGGGGUCACAGCGUUUCCUUCGCAUUGGCUGAAGAAGAAAAAAGACGAAGAAGGAGAAUAAGCAAGUGAAGGAGAGAGAGUUUAGGGUUUCAGAAUGAUCGAAAGUCUCAAAUGGGCGCUUGAUGCCAUGGAUCCGGAGCCCGUACAGAAGUACUUUGAGCGCCACGUGCACCGUGGCCGGAACAGUUCAAGAAAGCUUGUGGAAUCAACUGAGAACUAUUGCCCGAUGGCUUUGGCGUGGAGAAGGCAGAAGGAAUGGCUCACUCCUUAAUGCGUUGACGGGGAAGCCAGGAGUGGAUAUUGUACAAGUAGUUAAGUCCUUGGCUCAGAGUGGGCGAGCCGUGUGUGUUCUCUCUGCAUCUGAUCCAAUGAGCCUGGGCAUCAGCACGAAUGAGGCUUGAAGAAGUCCAAGCUGGAAACAGAGGAGUCCUUUCCAGCUGGUAUAGGCAGCAAAUCCAAGCGGUGCACAAAUUUUUUCAGCAGUGCUGGCUAGUUUCGGAAAACCACCACCUCCUUCACUAUGUUCCUGUUGGUUAUAAAGUUAAUUCUUAUUGACAGUGAGAUUUCAUAGUUGGUGUCUGUCUUAACUCUUCUUUGGCCAUGAAUGGGAAAUUUGUAUCUAUAGUUUAUGCGGGUAGGAAGAUAUGAAAUUUGUACCAAAUUUGUUUGUAUGUGACUUGUGUUUUAGUGUAAACAUAUGGGAUUUGUCUUUUCAAUUGAUUUAUAAUGUACUUAUAUGUGUUUGGCUUGCAAGGGUAAAGAAGAAAGUGUUACAAUGUAGAUUCACUUUUCUCUUAUUCUUUAAAAGAAAAAACAUGAAAGUUAAAAUACCACAAUCACUCAAAGCAGUAGAAAGAAAAGAACAGGAAAUGCUCUUUUCAAACCUUCUUACAAGGUGUCAAGACACCCAUUUGUGCCAACAACGUCUCAAGUUGAUUAGUAUUCAAUUGGACAGGAGAAAUUCCAUUGCAUGACACAAGUGUAUUAGAUUUCCGUUUCUGUUUACACUCUGUUGCAAAAAUGGUCAAAGUGACACUAAUAUCAUUCAUCAUUUUGAUCUACGCAUGGUGCAUGGUCAGAAUUAUCCACCUGCAAAUCUUAUAUGCCCACUCUCUCUCUAUCCUCCUCCCCCCCCUAACGGAUUAGCCCAAGAAGGAUGGGUCUAUACUGAAGACGCCUGGCAGGGACUGUCGCCAGUUGCCUGAGAAUGCCAUGGAUUCUGCUGCGGAUGCUGAUGCUGCAGGUGCUAUUGUUUGUGGUGGAGCAUUGGUUGCUGAUGGAAAGCUGCCAGCGUAUGAGUUGGCCCAAGAAGGUACAUACUGUUGGUACUUUGCUAUAAUAAUGAUUGGAUGGACAAGUUCUAUGAACUUGUGCUGAAGUUUGUUAUUUUAUCGGCUUUGAUUUUACUUUUAUUCUGUUGGUUAUUGAAAUUAGUGCUCAUUUAUUAGCCAUCCCAAAAAAAAUUACUGUAAAAAGCUUUAAAUUGUCUUGAAAGACUUGUGGUGUGCCAUUAAGAUUGCUGUGAUUUCCGAAUGGGAAUCUAUGGGCCACUAAACUCUAGAUUAGGGAUCCAAUGAUAGAAUUCCAGGAUAAAAGAUCAGUUUUUCAGUAAGAGCAAGUAUUUCAUAAAUAAGCAGUGUAGUUAAGAUAUGGUUAUAGAAAUGCUCCAUAAUUUUCAAAUAUAAGAAGUGCUAAAUGUUUUUCCUAUCUUUGGUUGUUUGUGAUGCUGAGGUAAAGAACACGCUUUUCAACUUUUGUAACACUGAUUGAAGGAGCAAAUGAAACAUGUGUUGAUCACCUCAGCAUACAACAGACACAUGCAAGGAAAUUGGUUCUUGUCUUUAUGUACUCUAUUUCUGGCCUUGUAGCUGCGGUACAUAAUGCAGAAAGGAAUAUUCCUGCAACCAUGAUACAAUGGCUGUGCGCGAAAAGUAUUGAACAACUUCAGUUUUAUCUGUUAAGUAUUUAAGCCUGUGAAAUUGUUUCUCAAGUUAACUUGCUUUGAUUUGACUUUCAUGCUAUUUAUUACUAAAAUUAACACUCAAUUAUAGUCUUUAAUUGUGGCAUUCCCUGUGGCCUACUAAUUAAAGUGCUUACAGGAGAAAUUGUAAUUAUUACAUGUUGUAAUUUGCAAUGAUUUGUUAAUAGGAUAACAAGUUGCAUCAAUCUUUGACAAGAAUUUUUGUUUUGUUGGCUCAUAGCUCUCUAUGGGCAUUUUUUUAAUUGAUAGUGACAUAGAACAAUUUUUACUUUUACAGACCUGUAACUUUUCCUUUUGGAGUAAUUUGCAUUUAAGCCCAUAUUUCUUGUUUAUUCUGAUAUGUGCAAAGCCCAUAAACAAUUCAUCUUGACAAGGGAGAAAAAACACAAUGUUUAACAAAUUUAUUGUAGCCUUAUCUAAAAACCAUUCAUCUUGACAAGGGAGAAAUGGAAGUUGCUAUUUUCUCUAACUUGAUUAGACUGUUUUUAGUUUAUAUCAGUCAAUUUGGAUACCCAGUCGCAUUGAUUACUGGGGACUAUGCAGUUGCAACUUAACAGUUGGCUUAUGAAGAUCUCAAGUAAAAACUUGAACAUUGUGUGAGUCAGUAACACUAACCUUUCUGUUGGUACUGGAAUGGUUUGCAUUCCAGUUGUUUUUGUUAUCUUCCUUUUACAACGGAAUCCAGAAGCAACGGAUGCUUUAUUGUGCAUGUGUCAGAAUGGGAAAACAAUUAUGGAUGCCACGUGGUGGUUGAUCUUUGGGGUUUUCUUAAAUUUAUUCUUGUGCAUGGCACCAUUUACUCAUGUAAAAGUCUCUCUCCCCUAACGCCAUUUCACCAUCUCUUUUAGUCGUGUCUGUCAUUCUACAUUUUUGUUCUCAUGGAUUCUUUUAAUCCAUUGCUUGCAGAAUUUGUUGAUUCUUUGGGCACAGUUGCUCCCAGCAUUUCUCUGAAGUCUGUUAUGGACCAAACAUGUUACAUUGGGUUGCCUACACUUUUUUAGUGCUGUGUUGUGUUAGUUGUGCUUUCUGCUCUGUCUAUUAUUUGGUUUGGAUACUUACAAUCAGGUCUCUGCCUCUUUUAUUAUCAGUGAGAUUGAUUUUUACAAGUUUAUUGGCUUUUUUAGGUAAUGGCAGAUCCUAUUCCAAGUGAACCUUUGAUGCAUGCAUGGGCACGUGGGUCAGUGUUUCCUUUGUUGACUAAUUUUUGUAGUCCUGCAUUUUUCUUGUUUCAUGCAACCACAGAAAGUGUCAUUCUGUUUUCAGCUCUCUGGAUUGGCAGAGACAUUCCAGGUGAUGUAGAUCCCACUCGGUAAAAACUGAUAACUCUUCUAGCUUGUUUGGUUGAUCUGUAUGUCUCUGUUUUGCUCAAGAAGUGAAUGUCUAUGUAUGUGUGGUGAUUUGCUCUUCUUCCUGGAUUUCCGCACACAUGGGAACUUGUAUAAUCUGUUAUGCCAUUUGUUGGGAGUUGAAACUCAUUGCUAUAUGUUUUGACUGCAAAUUUGUCUACAUGCAAAUCCUACCUGGUUAGUCUCUCUCUCUCUCUCUCUGUGUGUGUUGGAUAAAGGCGAUACCAUUGAACCCAAUGAAGCAUUCCCUAAUUUUCUUUCCACACUUUCAUGUUCUUGUUCAUUUGUAAGGCUGAUCUAGGUGUUUUUACUUUUUUCUGGUAGACAAUCCAUAUCUAGCACAGUUUCCCCCUAUUUUCACAUGUUCAUUAUUUUCAGUUGUUAAAUUUAUUUGAUGCAAAUGCUUGAAAAGGUGCUCCUCUAUUUUGUUGGGGUACUUUCCGUUAAUGUGAUUUACGCCAACGUAUUCCAUUGUACAAUUAUUGCUGUUUUAUUAUUUUACCCUUUUUGUUCCCUUAUAUUUUGUUUUCAAAUGAUUUGUUUUACAUGGAACAAAAGGGUAAAUAACAUGGAAUAUACAAUUAUGUUAAAGGUGCCAAUAUUGCAUGUUGUAGAUUUUUUGUGGUUAUCAAAAUAAAUUGUUCUUAAAUGCAUCUUGUAAAACAGUGAUAGGUGUCUUUCUUUCUUCUUUUUUACUUCACUAUUUGCUUCUUUCCAGGUCAAACAAAUAAGAUUCAUGCUACCUGCUCUCUCUCUCUCUCUCUCUCUCGCUCUCUCUCAAGCGGUCUUUGCAAAACCGUAUUAGGGUUUUUGUCUCCAUAUUUGGAUCUGCUGUAGGCUUUUUGUUUUUGUUUAUUUUUAACCUUUUGCUCUCUUUAAAUCUUUGGUUGCUGGUUGAUGUCUUGAUUUGUUGUUCGGAUCUCUAUUUUCCUGUAAUUAACUGCAACGUACGCUUGCUAGGGAACUAGGCACCCUAAUGGUGGCUUGAAGAAGUGCAAGCAAGAAAUGAACUGCCUAUCAACUGGUUUAGGAAGCAAAUUGAUGCCAAGUAUGAAGUUUUUCAACUUUGCUGGUUAUUAUGGGGAACUGCCACUUCCUUCACUAUAUUCCUGGUGCCGGACAACUGAUGGCAAGAUGUGGGAUCUGAUGACCAUAAGUGUUCUGAGUGCCACAUGCACGGUGGGCGGAGCAGUUGAAGAAAGCCUGUGGAAAUCGUUGUUUCCUCCAUAGUUGGUGGAUGCACCGGUAGGGGAGGUAUUGGUUUUGACAGUAAUGGCAAUGGCGGACAUCUUCCCAUUUCAGUCUGCCUGGACCGUCCCCUUCCUUUGAUCUUUUCCACCUCAACCGGUGGUGUAGGUUUUUUUUUUGUGUGUCUUCCAUGUUGGGUGUUUUUCUCUGUUCAGCGUUUCUCAAACCUGACCAGUGGCCAGGGGAAGGCAAGAGAAAAUUAUGAAUCCGAUUGAGUGAUCCAUUCCUGCCCAUCAAAGUCCAUAAUUUACUUUGCCAUUGUCCUUGCUGGAUGUUAUGGUUUCCCAGAUUAGGGUUUGUGAAUGCUUAAAAGACACACUUCCUUCUGUGCUUGUUCGUUAUUUAAGUUUAAUUUGACAAAUUUAUGCUUCUAAUGUCAACGGGGAUGCUGGAGACUCCCUCUUGGCUUUCGUUCAGCCUGGACGGAAACAGCAGCUUCUCCGUACUUUCUGGUAAAUUGAGGUGAGUCCAACACAGCCAAACCUGCAGUUCUCAUUUCUUGGAUUUUCUCUGUGAAUUAACAAAUUCUGCAUGGUACACAGUAAUUUCUUAGCAACUCCCUUGACCUACUAACUGGAAGUACUUACAGGAGAUUUUGUAAUUAGUGUAUGUUGUAAUUUGGAAUAAUUUGUGAAUAGGAACAGAAGUUGCUCUAUGUUGCUUCUUCACCACUGCAUUUGGAUUUAUACCCACUUCGACGGAUGUCAUCACCAUGACCUGGUUGCUUGAGAUGAAAAUGAUGCUGCGCCAACAGCAAAACUAGCAUUCUCCAGGUGUCCUUAGUGCCAACCAUCAACAUCAACUGCUCUCCUUUGCUGCCACUAUUUUCGCCCCCACCCAACAGAAUUUUACGUGAGGUGCCUCUUUGCUACCACCGCUUUCUUUGGCUGUCUGUCCCUCCCUCCUCCAGCCUCAUUACUUGGUUUCCUCCGACACAACCUCAGCUGCAUCAGCAACUAUUGAAUCGGCUGCUGUGCUGUUGCCGUUGUGCAGCUGCAGAAUCUCUCGCUUGCGGUGUCUCCUCUAUAAACCUUGUUCUCUUCUUCAGCAAUUGAAGGAGAGAGAGCUUUUAGGGUUUCCGAAUGAUUGAAAAUCUCGAUCGGCCGCUUGCUGCCACGGAUCCGGAGGCCGGCUGGUGCGGGAGAGACAACGGCGAGAAGUGGGAUCUGAUGGCUGGCCAGAAGUACUUUUGAGGGUGACAUGUACCAUUGCCUGAACGGUUCAAGAAAGCCUGUGGAAAUAUUGCUGGGUGACUUUGCCGUCAAUGCUGUAUGAGGGAAGUGGAGCAACUAUGCAUUGACAAUAAAGCCAGGACAGUACAUUGUAGACAUAUUAAAGUCACAGUGGUCCAACCGCCAUUGUUCUGUCCACUACUGCUGGUCCAGCUUCCAUUGUUGAUGUGUCCAGAUGAAUCCUUUGGACAUUUGGCGGCUUCAAGAAAUGGAAGCAGGAAAUGCAACUGGUGUAGGAAGCAAGGUGAAGGCUUGCAUGCACAAAGUUUUUCAACUCUGCCCAAAUACUGCCACUUCCUUCACUGUCUUCCUGGUGCAUACAAUGCGGUUGUGUUGCCGGUGCACCUGGCUCCUCGGCUUUAAGGUCGAUGUGUUCCUAGUCUUUUGGUGGGCAUGAAUGGGAAAUUUGUAUCUGUAAUACUUGUGCGGGCAGGAAAACAUGAAUGCUUUUGAAGAGGCCAUGAAUUGUAAUUUUUGUUUGUGCUGACAUACCGGUGGCUUCAAAUAACAAACUACUAUGUUUUUUGUGACCUGAGAGUUGGUGUCUAACCAAAUAAGAGAUUCUAGGCGAUAAUUCAGACUCAUGCUAAAACUGGUAACUCUUCUAGCAUCUUGGUAGUCCUGAAUAUCAAUCCCUUGCUCAAAAUUAUAUUGAGAACU